GCCUGGGUGGCUCAGUUGGUUAAGCGUCUGACUCUUUGUUUCAGAGGUCUCAUGGUUUGUGAGUUUGAGCCUCACCUCUGGCU
rnacentral:tRNA from 1 species